GGGGGAGUGGCGAAGCUGGAAACCGCGGCAGACUCAAACUCUGCUGCCCGCAAGGGCUUAGGGGUUCAAGUCCCCUCUCCCCUA
rnacentral:tRNA from 1 species